rnacentral:lncRNA from 7 species
GUGACAUGGCUGGGAACGUGUGCGAGGGGAGCACCCAGAGCUGGCUGCUGGUGGUCCUGGGUGGCAAAGAGGAGCAAAAGGUGGCUGCUGUUCAGAGAAGAGCUAGCAGGCUCUGGGCUGCAGCCACCAGAGGGCACGUUCCAGCUUGCGAAGCACUGAUGUUACUGUAGUCUGAGCUCCUGAGCCUUCUGCAUCUCUUUAUGAACUCACUUGGAGCUUUGUUUUCUACUCUGCACUAAUCGUGGUGUACCAGGGAAAAAGAAUAUUCAGUUUGCUGGCACCUCAAAGUGCUUUGGUAGCCUCACAGUAUCCCACCGUUUUGAGUCAUGCUGUGACUGUGUGCCAGGUGAGCUACUGUCAAACGUGGUCAACCGAGCGCAGGAGGGCUUCAUACCCUUACAGAGGUGCUGAGAACUUUAGAGGGCACUUCUCUUAAAGGUCCCUAGGAGGGAGUGGAGCGAUGCUGUAAGCGCAGGCGUUGUGCCUGCUGAUCCCCGAGCACAACUGGAUCUUCCUGUCUCUUACACAAGGAGGACGAGCAAUAGAGCACCUAAUCCCUGCGGGUCCCAAUCACUGCGGAGAAGGCGUUGUAGGUACUAAAACUACAGCACAAAGCCCUUGGCUUGGCAUACUGGGGAUUUACUGCUGGGAGAUGAUUAACAUUACUGAGGCGUAGAAGCAGUGAAGAGCAGAUUUCCACGCUGUUUAAUAAGCAAGUUGACUUUACACAGACCUUAAAUCCUGUCUGCAGUGUUUAAUGAAGAACUGGGAUCUGCUGCAGUUCCUCUGAUCCUUUGUACUGCAGUUUUGGAAGGUGGAAUGAAUUCCACAGGUAGUUUGCUUUCGUAUACUAGUAACUCUUAUAACUACUUUAAAGUAAAGCAAACAAAU